AUGAACGCUAGCUACAGGCUUAACACAUGCAAGUCGAGGGGCAGCAUGACGAUAGCUUGCUAUUGUUGAUGGCGACCGGCGCACGGGUGAGUAACGCGUAUCCAACCUGCCCUUGUCCAUCGGAUAACCCGUCGAAAGGCGGCCUAACACGAUAUGCAGUUCUCAGCAGGCAUCUAACGAGAACGAAAUGUAAAGGAGAAGGAUGGGGAUGCGUCUGAUUAGCUUGUUGGCUGGGUAACGGCCCACCAAGGCGACGAUCAGUAGGGGUUCUGAGAGGAAGGUCCCCCACAUUGGAACUGAGACACGGUCCAAACUCCUACGGGAGGCAGCAGUGAGGAAUAUUGGUCAAUGGGCGAGAGCCUGAACCAGCCAAGUAGCGUGCAGGAUGACGGCCCUAUGGGUUGUAAACUGCUUUUAUGCGGGGAUAAAGUGAGCCACGUGUGGCUUAUUGCAGGUACCGCAUGAAUAAGGACCGGCUAAUUCCGUGCCAGCAGCCGCGGUAAUACGGAAGGUCCGGGCGUUAUCCGGAUUUAUUGGGUUUAAAGGGAGCGUAGGCCGUCUGGUAAGCGUGUUGUGAAAUGUCGGGGCUCAACCUGGGCAUUGCAGCGCGAACUGUCAGACUUGAGUGCGCGGGAAGUAGGCGGAAUUCGUCGUGUAGCGGUGAAAUGCUUAGAUAUGACGAAGAACUCCGAUUGCGAAGGCAGCCUGCUGUAGCGCAACUGACGCUGAAGCUCGAAAGCGUGGGUAUCGAACAGGAUUAGAUACCCUGGUAGUCCACGCGGUAAACGAUGGAUGCUCGCUGUUUGCGUCUGACGUAAGCGGCCAAGCGAAAGCGUUAAGCAUCCCACCUGGGGAGUACGCCGGCAACGGUGAAACUCAAAGGAAUUGACGGGGGCCCGCACAAGCGGAGGAACAUGUGGUUUAAUUCGAUGAUACGCGAGGAACCUUACCCGGGCUUAAAUUGCAUUUGAAUAUAUUGGAAACAGUAUAGCCGUAAGGCAAAUGUGAAGGUGCUGCAUGGUUGUCGUCAGCUCGUGCCGUGAGGUGUCGGCUUAAGUGCCAUAACGAGCGCAACCCCUGUUCUCAGUUGCCAUCGGGUAAUGCCGGGCACUCUGUGAAGACUGCCUCCGCAAGGAGCGAGGAAGGUGGGGAUGACGUCAAAUCAGCACGGCCCUUACGUCCGGGGCUACACACGUGUUACAAUGGCAUGUACAGAAAGCAGGCCGUAUGCAAAUACGGUCGAAUCCCUAAAACAUGUCUCAGUUCGGACUGGGGUCUGCAACCCGACCCCACGAAGCUGGAUUCGCUAGUAAUCGCGCAUCAGCCAUGGCGCGGUGAAUACGUUCCCGGGCCUUGUACACACCGCCCGUCAAGCCAUGAAAGCCGGGGGCGCCUGAAGUCCGUGACCGCAAGGGUCGGCCUAGGGUGAAACCGGUGAUUGGGGCU
rnacentral:rRNA from 1 species